UACGUAGGUGACAAGCGUUGUCCGGAUUUACUGGGCGUAAAGAGCGCGCAGGCGGUCGUUCAAGUCGAGUGUGAAAGCCCCCCGGCUCAACUGGGGAGGGUCAUUCGAUACUGAUCGACUCGAAGGCAGGAGAGGGAAGUGGAAAUUCCCGGUGUAGUGGUGAAAUGCGUAGAUAUCGGGAGGAACACCAGUGGCGAAGGCGACUUCCUGGCCUGUUCUUGACGCUGAGGCGCGAAAGCUAGGGGAGCAAACGGGG
rnacentral:rRNA from 1 species